GGUGAUUCUUUAAAGAUUCAUGAACAACUCAAGUAUGAAAAUGUGAAAAAAAAACAUUAUUUUACAUCUUUAAUGUGUUUAUCUCUAGUCAGAAACUAUCAAAAUGUCGAUUAUUUCUUUCCCGGCAUUUUUACACCGAAAAGGGGAAUAAUCGAUCUGAAUCAAUUCAGUGUUUAAAUGUCGCCGAGUAAGGACUUGAAUAUCAUUCAUCUAUAAAGAUCGCAUUGGCACACCCCG
rnacentral:lncRNA from 1 species